CGAAAAAGCAGCCCACCUCCAACAGCUCAGCGCAGAAUGAUUAGAAAGGAGGACAUGGCGGUCAGCAGAGGACAAUGAGGAACCAAAGGCAAGUGCUGUGUCAAGAUUUCGAGGCGACAGUUCACACAACGAGCCUUCGCAUCUUAAAAUGGGUGACUUACCUGCGCAGGAUGAUGUCCAACCACAGCCAAGUGCUGUACCCAGUUUUCAAGAUGACAGUGCACAUGGGCCUUCAUCUAGCAAAAUGGGAACUUUACCAACA
rnacentral:lncRNA from 1 species